AGAGUUUGAUCCUGGCUCAGAACGAACGCUGGCGGCGUGAUAAGACAUGCAAGUCGAACGCUAAUUUCAGGGUAGCAAUAUUCUGAAGUUGGAGUGGCGCAAGGGUGCGUAACACGUGGGUAAUUUGCCAUAAUGUUGGGGAUAACUCGCUGAAAGGCGAGCUAAUACCGAAUGUGAAAAUUGGGAGGCAUCUUCUGAUUUUUAAAGUUGGGGACCGCAAGGCUGACGCAUUAUGAUAAGCCCGCGGCCUAUCAGCUAGUUGGGAGGUAACGGCUCACCAAGGCUAAGACGGNNAGCUGGCUGAGAGGACGACCAGUCACACUGGAACUGAGACACGGUCCAGACACCUACGGGUGGCAGCAGUCGAGAAUUUUUCUCAAUGGGCGAAAGCCUGAAGGAGCGACGCCGCGUGGGGGAUGAAGGGCUUCGGCUCGUAAACCCCUGUCAUUUGCGAACAAACCUUACGAUUGAACAGAUCGUGAGCUGAUUGUAGCGAAAGAGGAAGGGACGGCUAACUCUGUGCCAGCAGCCGCGGUAAUACAGAGGUCCCGAGCGUUGUUCGGAUUCACUGGGCGUAAAGGGUGCGUAGGUGGCAGGGUAAGUUUGAUGUGAAAUCUCUGAGCUUAACUCAGAAACUGCAUGAAUACUAUCCGGCUUGAGGGUUGGAGGGGGGACUGGAAUCUUGGUGUAGCAGUGAAAUGCGUAGAUAUCAAGUGGAACACCAGUGGCGAAGGCGAGUCCUGGACAACUCCUGACACUGAGGCACGAAAGCUAGGGGAGCAAACAGGAUUAGAUACCCUAGUAGUCC
rnacentral:rRNA from 1 species